UCAGCAGUAGUCGUCACAGCCUCUGUGGACCUUCUUGAACACUCUGGCGCUGUCAAGACUGCAUCACUGCCUGCUAAGAGCCAUCACUCCACCUCCGUCGUAGUGUUCUUAAAAGAUGCAAGAGAUGACUAGCAUCUAAUAUCACCUUCGAGGAAAUCACCUCUACAUAAAAUCUGCGAAGCAGGCGGAGGUCUAAGAGGAGCAGCUGGUGAAAUGUGUUGUGGAAGACGGCAGCACCUUCAGGCCAGGCCAGAGGAGGGAGGGGCACCAGGAGGCAAAGCUGCUGGCAGCUCUCCAGCAGUUGUCUUACGUGGUACUUGGAGUUAUAAGUCUCCCUUUGAGGGAUCACACCCAAUAGGACUAAUAUGGCUCAGGAAAGAAACUGCUUUACCUCUGUGGGCUGAGAGUCCUUGUUUUCAGAAGACACCCUAGCCUGAGUCACAUCUCAGCCAAGUCAGUGCACUGGGACAGCAUCUCACUGCCGAAAGCAUCAGGAGGUGGUACCCAUGGCCUUCUAGGGAUGCCUCUCAGACCCUCAUCUUUGAUAAGAAGGCCUGUUGGGCCCUGAAGCCCCACCAAGAAGGAGGUCGCCCCAAGAGACACUCUCACCGUGGUUGGUGCAAUAGCAAGAGGAAUUUUUAUUUUUGCUGCCGCAGCAGAGGUCCCUCAGCCUCGAGAGGAGAAGGACCCCUGCUUUGUCUAUUACAGGCUCUUUUAAAGGAAAAAAACCCCACAGAAUCAAGUGGGGGGGGGAGUACAGAAUCAAAAGGGAGAGUCCAGAAACCAUUUGUCAACUAUUUUGACUAGUUCAUUCAAUGGUCAGCUGUGGGAAUUGCAGCCCCGAGUUACAUUUCCCUGCCCCCAUUUGAGGUGCUUAUCUGCAAAGAAAACAUAACUUCC